rnacentral:rRNA from 1 species
CCUACGGGAGGCAGCAGUGAGGAAUAUUGGUCAAUGGGCGCGAGCCUGAACCAGCCAAGUAGCGUGAAGGAUGACUGCCCUACGGGUUGUAAACUUCUUUUAUAAAGGAAUAAAGUGAGGCACGUGUGCCUAUUUGUAUGUACUUUAUGAAUAAGGAUCGCCUAACUACGUGCAAGGAGCCGCGGUAAUACGGAGGAUCCGAGCGUUAUCCGGAUUUAUUGGGGUUAAAGGGUGCUGAGGCGGAUUUUUAAGUCAGCGGUAAAAUGUUGGGGCUCAACCCGGGCCGGCGGUUGAAACUGGGGAUCUUGAGUGCGCGAGAAGUAUGCGGAAUGCGUGGUGUAGCGGUGAAAUGCAUAGAUAUCACGAAGAACUCCGGUUGCGAAGGCAGCAUACCGGCGCCCGACUGACGCUGAGGCACGAAAGCGUGGGGAUCGAACAGGAUUAGAUACCCCAGUAGUC